rnacentral:lncRNA from 1 species
GCUGUUUUCCCUUUGCCAUCUUUGAGAGGUCAUCUGGAUGCGGGGGCUUCUCUAACUCAGUUUGUCUCCACGGUUACAAACCUGUGCGCUAGCUGACCCACGGGGCCUCAGGAGGGGCGCCCUGGCGGCAGGGCAAUGGCCAUAUCGUCUCCCCAAUUCGCAGACCUCCUUAGCACCCUCCAGACCUUGGACAGGUGGCGUGGAGAAUAGCACACGUCUCGGUGGGCUCCAAGAACACUGCGAGCGGGAGUUGUGGUCACGGGCAGAGCCCAGUGCCUCGUGGCGUGGCGAGGGGGACGCGGAGCCACGCACGGCGGAGCGGGGAACAGCCACGCGCUCUGCCCGCGACACCCGCCCGUCUCUUCUGGGACCUACUUCCCGCCUGCCCCGUGGGUGAGUUCUCGGCGGGUCCUGUACAUCUUCCAACCACUCUUGGGUUAUAUAAAAUCUUUUGGUUACUUCUCGAAGCGAUGGCAGCCCGAUUUCAGAUCCUAGAAUGCCCAGGCCCACACGAUGAGGUACCAAACCUCACUUAAAACUAAAAGGCGUCUCUUGGCCCAGUUUGCGCUGGCUUCAGAGUGGAUUUGUACCUUCUGCCGAGAAGGUGGGUGAGGGGCAAGGGCCGUGAACCCGACGAGCUGCGCGUCCCUCCGAGCGCCCACCGGCC